AUUGAACGCUGGCGGCAGGCCUAACACAUGCAAGUCGAGCGGAUGAAGAGAGCUUGCUCUCUGAUUUAGCGGCGGACGGGUGAGUAAUGCCUAGGAAUCUGCCUGAUAGUGGGGGAUAACGUUCCGAAAGGAACGCUAAUACCGCAUACGUCCUACGGGAGAAAGCAGGGGACCUUCGGGCCUUGUGCUAUCAGAUGAGCCUAGGUCGGAUUAGCUAGUUGGUGAGGUAAUGGCUCACCAAGGCUACGAUCCGUAACUGGUCUGAGAGGAUGAUCAGUCACACUGGAACUGAGACACGGUCCAGACUCCUACGGGAGGCAGCAGUGGGGAAUAUUGGACAAUGGGCGAAAGCCUGAUCCAGCCAUGCCGCGUGUGUGAAGAAGGUCUUCGGAUUGUAAAGCACUUUAAGUUGGGAGGAAGGGCAGUAAGUUAAUACCUUGCUGUUUUGACGUUACCGACAGAAUAAGCACCGGCUAACUUCGUGCCAGCCGCCGCAGUAAAAC
rnacentral:rRNA from 1 species